rnacentral:misc_RNA from 1 species
AAAAAAAAAAAAAAAACGUUUUUGCUGAUUGAUGCCAGCGAGACACUUUCAGAUUUUUCUUCUGUGCUUUAUUUUUUCACUUUUGAGGCCUCGUGAUGCCUCCUACACAACCUCUCCUCAUCUCUCUUUAUAUCUCGCUCUAUAAUUACGAGACUGAUACUGUUCUGUCCCUGCCUCCCCUCGCGGCCUUUUUUCUCAUGGAAUCUCACCGGAAAACCACUUUUGGUUUUGGGGAAUACCGGCAUCUGAAGCCACCCAUUAAGCCCAGCAUAUAAGAACAAAACAAUAUACUUGAAAACUUUCCAAUUUUUCGUCUUAUUCCAAAAGGAUAUUGUCCAAUGGCAGUGGUUUUUGACUCUGUUGCUGUUUCCUUUUCUUUGUUUCUGCUGCUGUUGAGUCAUGAACCAGUUCACUCCGAAACUGUACAAGAAAAGAAAGGCCUCCUUGCGUUUCUCUCUGGAGUUGCUCAUGCGAAUCGCCUACAAUGGAAUGCGUCCGACUCUGCCUGCAACUGGGUUGGCGUUAUCUGCGAUGGCAACCAAUCCUCUGUGUACGAACUUCGCCUUCCCGCCGUGGGCCUUUUGGGCCAGAUUGCACCCAACACCUUGGGCAACUUGACUCAGCUCCGAGUUUUGAGUCUCCGCUCGAACCGUCUCUCCGGUGAGAUCCCUUCCGAUUUCUCCAAUCUAACCUUGCUCCGCAGCCUCUAUCUCCAAAACAAUGAGUUUACAGGUGAUUUCCCACAGAGUCUGCCUCGGCUAACUCGGUUAGCCCGUCUCGAUCUCUCCUCAAACAACUUCACUGGUUCAAUCCCUUUUGAAGUGAACAGCUUGACUCAUUUAACACGUCUUUAUUUACAGAAGAACCAGUUCUCAGGCACUUUACCUAGUAUAAACCCUUCAAAUUUGACGGACUUCAAUGUGUCGAGCAACAAUCUCAAUGGUUCAAUCCCUUCGGUUUUAUCCAGAUUUCCUGCAUCAUCAUUCGCCGGAAAUUUAAAUCUCUGUGGUGACCCAUUGCCGCCGUGCAGCCCAUUUUUUCCUUCUCCAGUUCCAUCCCCAUCAGAAAUCCCACCUGAAGGCCCAGUUCACAAAAAGUCCAAGAAACUCUCCACCGCCGCCAUUGUUUUAAUAGCAGUCGGCUCCGCUUUAGUAGCUUUCUUCCUCUUGCUGUUUCUGCUGUUAUGUCUCCGGCGGAAACAGCGGAGACAGCCGUCUAAGGCACCAAAACCAACAGCGGCAGGGCGCGCGGUGCCAGUGGAGGUGGGAACGUCGUCGUCAAAGGAUGAUAUUACAGGUGGGUCAGCGGAAGCUGAGAGGAAUAAGCUGGUAUUUUUGGAGGGAGGCGUAUACAGCUUCGAUUUGGAGGAUUUAUUGAGGGCAUCUGCGGAGGUGCUGGGGAAAGGUAGCGUGGGAACUUCUUACAAAGCGGUGCUGGAAGAAGGCACGAUGGUGGUUGUGAAGAGGCUGAAGGAUGUUGUAGUAAGUAGAAGAGAGUUCGAGAUGCAAAUGGAGAUUCUGGGAAAGAUCAAGCACGACAAUGUGGUGCCAUUGAGGGCAUUUUACUAUUCCAAGGAUGAGAAAUUGCUAGUUUACGAUUACAUGCCCGCUGGUAGCUUAUCGGCUCUGCUCCAUGGUACAAUCUUAGAAACCUCUCUCUCUCUCUCUUUAAUAAUAUUAAAAUUUCCAUUCUUAAAUCAAAAUUCUAUUGAGAACCAGAGACAUGUCCAAACUCAAAAUUAGGUUUCUGCUUUUGAAUUGGUUACACUGACACUCUAAUGCUGCUGCUCCAGCUGUUACUGUCUAGGAAGCUACAUAAUAUAUUAUAAUUGAAUUUCUAUUGUCUUAUAAAUAAUUAAGACAAAAGGGUAAACAGCACCAGGCCAGAUUGGGCAGAUUCCAGAGUUUUUAUUGUUUAAUGAAUCCCUUGAUCACUUCCCUGAUUGUUUGCAAAACAUUCUUAUUAGUGUGGCAAAAAUACGCAACCUGCCAGCGCGUAUGGUGGUGUCUUUUUGUUUAUGCCACUAACAGCAUCAGCACAAGCUUCCUUCACCAUUAAUAAUGGCGCCAACGACAUUAUCAUUUUGCGCUUUUUCUUUUUGCCAUUUUUUUAAUUACGCAAACAUUCAUCAUUUUUGCUUUACUAUUACUUCUGGAAGAGAGUGCUGGAUUGGAUAAACUUGGGUUAUUUUACUUCCCUUUGCUAAUUUUUUUAUUUGUUAGAUAAGAAAUAGAAUUUCGCAUAACUGGAAUAAUGGCCCGUCGAUUCUACUGCAGGUAGCAGAGGGUCAGGCCGGACACCACUAGAUUGGGACAACCGGAUGAGAAUUGCUAUGAGCGCAGCGAGAGGCCUAGCUCAUCUCCAUGUGGUAGGAAAAGUGGUCCACGGCAACAUCAAAUCCUCCAAUAUUCUGCUACGACCCAAUCAGGACGCUUACGUCUCCGACUUCGGAAUCAACCCUCUCUUUGGCACAGCUACGCCACCCAGCCGUGUCGCUGGCUAUCGCGCCCCGGAAGUGGUUGAAACCCGUAAAGUGACCUUUAAAUCCGACGUGUAUAGUUUCGGGGUGUUACUGCUGGAACUUUUAACGGGGAAAGCACCCAAUCAAGCCUCCUUGGGCGAAGAAGGCAUUGACUUGCCCAGGUGGGUCCAGUCCGUAGUUCGAGAAGAAUGGACGGCUGAGGUUUUUGAUGUGGAGUUGAUGAGAUACCACAAUAUUGAGGAGGAAAUGGUGCAGCUCUUGCAAAUAGCAAUGGCGUGUGUUUCGACGGUGCCUGAUCAGAGACCGGCUAUGCAGGAAGUGCUCAGGAUGAUUGAGGAAAUUAAUAGGGUAGAGACCGAUGACGGAUUACGGCCGUCUUCUGAUGAUCCAUCUAAAGGAUCCGACGGACACACGCCACCUCCGGAAUCCAGGACCUCACCCAGAACUGUCACACCGUAGAAAUUCCCCUCCAGAAGAAAAAAAGGGGUAAAAGUAAAAUUAUAAAAAAAAUUAAAAAAAAGGAAGACAGGAUGGUGGGCCUGGUCUGAGGGUCUCGUUAAAAUGUGCACUCAAUGCGUAAUUAACAGUGAUAAAGGUGCGCAUUUGAUUGAGCCUUUGAGGGAAGUGGCUCAAAUAUGUGUUUUUUUCCUUAAUUUUCUUGGGUUUAUUUUAUUUUAUUUCAAUUUUAAUCUGCAAGAUUUUUACAGGUGGGAGAGGAUUCGAAUUGUUUUUAGAGGGGGGAGGGGAGGGGAGUUCCAUGAACUGAUUGGAAUUUCACCAAAUUGAUGGAUUUAGUUGGCUUGUAUCUAAUUCUUUAUUUUUCGUGUAUUUGUUAUAUGAUGAAACCAAUCUGUUGUCCUGACUCAACACAUUGGGUUUUGUUGUUUCAAUUUAAUGACCAGGACUGCAAUGCAAGUAGCUAACUAGAAUGGGAACUGAUGAAGAUUCCAGGGCUCGUUUUGUGGUAGAAAUAGAAUAAGGCCAAGCAGUUUGUUUGUCCUCUUGUUCUAAUUUCACUAUUGUUGACUUGUGCCUGUGAGGCCUGCCCGUGGCGGAGUGUUGAAGACUUGAACCUGCGCGUGCAUUGUUUUAUUCUACUGAGCCCACACGGUCACAAAAAGGAGGCCCUGCUUGGUCCGAAGACCGAUUUCUGGAGUGUUUUUAACUCACAGUCAGGUCCAUAAUAAUCCAUGGGUUUGGUCCCAUCAUGGAUAAUGAGGUGCCACUUGCAGGUUAGGGUUUUGGUGGGGCACGGAUUAUCGACAUGUGGAAGGAGGCAAGGAAGAAUGGUGGUGGGGAACAGGCUGGCCGACGUUCGGCUUUUAAGUCUUUCUUUGCCUUCCCUAGGUCCUUUUCGUCUUUUUAGAUUUUUUUUCAUUUGUUCACCAAUCAUUUGCCCCAGCGUCUAAGCAACGAGAUACCCUAUCCAUCCAAAAAAAAAAAAGGGUGUACAAGGAAAAUAGUAAUUUUAUUACAUAAUAGAUUUAAUCACUUAAUUAAUUUGAACAAA